UCUGCAUGCAUCAGAAUCUCUGAAACAUGCCUAGCGUUUAAAUGAAAUAGAAGAAAGAAGAUCUUUCUACCUUCUGCAAUAAGUUGAAAAUUGAAAGGAAUCAGUAAUCUCCGAUUUCUGAUUUGGUAGCACGUCAAAUAUUUGAAAGCCUUAAGAGCAAAGAAAGGACUUCUCAAAAAAGAAGGACUUCUGCCUCCAGACAACAAAUACAAAUUCUGCCUGAUUUUUCUCCCUUCACACUCAAGACUACAACAACUCUUACCUGAAUCUUCAGACUGCCAUCUUGCCCAACACAUUUCAGACUUACCAGCCACCAAAAUCAUAUGGCCCUAUGCAAACCAGGAAAGGUACCCUCACCAGACAAUGGAUCUGCCAGCAUGUUGACCCCAGAUUUUCCAGCCUCUAGAAGUGUAAGAAAUAAAUUUUUGCUUUUUAUCUGCUACACAGUCUAUGAUAUUUUUGUUAUAGCAGCCCAAACAGAUUAAGAUGCUCCAUAAAGGGAAGUCCAUGUCACAAUUGUAAAAACAAUUUCUAUACUACCAGUCUAUUUUUCUGAUGUCCUCUUCCUCUUCAGACAUAGCUGACAUUUUCCUGACAUAUAAUCCUCUUCUGAUUCUGAACAGAAAAUGAUCUGCUACAAUCGUAUACAUCUUAACUGGUACUCAUUCGCAAACUCAGAGUCUUCUCUGUGUUCUGAGUGCUUUUGGAAAAGGCAUCUUAUACAAUCAAAGUGACUAUAGUUAAUUGCAAAGAGGGAUGGAAACUAAUGGCAGCAGCUGCCAUUUCCUGAACACCUACAAGGUGGCAUUCUCUGUGAUGGACACUCUCUGGAAAUGAUCUCUAAAUUUCACAGCUCCUGUUAAGGCAAGUGCUACUAUAUAUAAAAUUCAGAGAUGAGAAAAUUAAGGGUCAGAGAAAUAAAUCACCUGGUUGAAGACAUGUAAUUAGAAAAAAAGCAAGUAAGUCCAUAAGGCCAGCAUGUUUUGUAAGCAAUCAUAUCUGCCUGCCAUAUCUAACAUUAUCCUAUGUUUAAGAGAGAAUAUGAUUAUUAUAGAAAAAGUGAAAGCUGCAUACUGGACUUGGACAUUGAUUUUUUUAAAGCUGCUGAAAAAAAUCUUCAAACAUAUUUGUUUUAUGUGUGGGCCUUUUCUCCCCUCUUCUUUAACAUUUACUCAGUCCUUGGGUGGGGCUCAGGAACAGCUACAGAAGGAAGCACACAUACUAUAUGUCUAAAUAUGUAAAAGUUAUAAAUCAAACUAUGACAUGGAAAGGUAUUCUAUCCUCUAACCUGAAAGGGUCAAACUUGAAUAUAGAACUAUUGCACUUUUUGGAAUUCUGAGCUAAAUAUGGUACAAAGAGGAAAUCCUGCUCCAAAUCAUCAAUCUCUAGUCCUAAAUAUGCAACCUCACUCCUUUUCUCCUACUUUUGACUCAUCACAAACUGACAGGAGCAUUGGGGAUCCCCUGCCCACACACCAAAGCUCCAUCUAUAUUCACAAAGUUAUCCUAGGGCCAGAGAUGUUCCCAACAAAGUUACUCCACAUUUGGGUACGACAAUGGGGAAAAUCUCAGAGAUAGUUAGACAGUGGAUUCUAGAGUCCCAAGUACCCAGAGCACACAUCUCUGAAGGGCAUUCAUGAGUUCCGAGUAGGCUUAUCUCCUUGACCCCUUGAGACCUUCACCACAUAAAAAGGUAUGUUUUGGGAAGAAGGCCAGGUACCCAGAUGAGAGGCUCCUUCUGUCCAAGUCCAAAGUUGGUUCUGUGUUUUGCCCUCAAAUAUCAAGGACCCAGAGCUAGUUCUCAUUGUAGCCUCUUCAUUCCAUGUUCCACCAUCCCUGUUGGAAGUUCUAUCCCCUGUUAUAGCUUGGAAAUCAUUCUGUGUCCUUCCUUUUUUUUUUCUUUUUCCACCUUCACUUUGUUCUCUGCUCCAUUCCAUAUCUCUCUGUCUGUC